CAGUAGCCACGGUAAAACGUAGGGUGCAAGCGUUAAUCGGAAUUACUGGGCGUAAAGCGUGCGCAGGCGGUUAUAUAAGACAGUCGUGAAAUCCCCGGGCUCAACCUGGGAACUGCGAUUGUGACUGUAUGGCUAGAGUGUGUCAGAGGGGGGUAGAAUUCCACGUGUAGCAGUGAAAUGCGUAGAUAUGUGGAGGAAUACCGAUGGCGAAGGCAGCCCCCUGGGAUAACACUGACGCUCAUGCACGAAAGCGUGGGGAGCAAACAGGAUUAGAUACCCCAGUAGUCCCUGUCUCUUAUAC
rnacentral:rRNA from 1 species